rnacentral:lncRNA from 10 species
CCUAUCCCUAUUGCUUGUUUUCAUUGACCUUGUCGAAAAUCAGAUGGUUGAGCUACCCCAGGACCAGUAACACUGUUGUUUUUGAAGAUUCAUAGAGGAACCGCCUUGAUUUUCUUGAUCAAGAUCUGGAAGAAUUAUCUCAAUUGCCAGCUUUGCAGGCCCAGGAGAUUGUGGACCAAGGUCAAGGCCUAGUGAAAAAGAGCGCAGUGAGGAGCUUGACUCCGUUGUGGUUAAGAGGAAAAAUUAUUAGCAUUUUAACAAUAUUUGGACUGUUUCUAGAUUGGAGGUAUUUUGAAUGAAGCUGCUGUGAAUAUUCAUGAACAAUGUACAAGUUUUUGUAUGGACAUAUGCUUUCUUUUCCUUUGCUUGAAUGCCUAAGUGUGAAAUGGCUGGAUCACAUGGUACAUACAUGCCUAAUUUUUAAAGAAGCAAUCAAACCACUUUUGAAAUAGUAGUAAUAUUUCACAUAACCAACCAUAGUGUAUAAAACUGCAGAAGUUCCACAACAUUAGCAACACUUGGUGUCAUCAGUCUUGAACUUUGAACAUUCUAGUAAGUGUGUAGUGGUACAUUUGUAAAUUUUGCGUCUAAUAAAUUAUAUACUGUAAUUUAAUUUCUAUUUCCCUAAUGACUAAUGAGAUUAAGCAUCUUUUCAUGUGCUUAUUUGUCAUUUUUAUUUAUAUCUGAUUUAGUGAUGUCUCUGUUAACAUUUUGCCAAUCAUUUUAUCAGGUUAUUAUCAUACCUUUAAAGUAUUUUAUGGAAUCUGAAUACAAAAAUCUUUAUUAAACAUGUGACUUAAAAGUUGCUUCCUUAACUUUGUGGCUUGACUUUUCAUUCUCUUAAUGCUUUUCAAAAGGCAGGAGUUUUUAUUCUUAAAGAGUUUAAUAUAUAUGUACACAUAUAUAAGUACAUGUCUUUACACACACACAUAUAAGUAUGUAAUUUUUAAUUUUAUGGAUCAUGAUUUUUGGUGUCAUAAGUAGAAAUACUUAACUCAAAAAUUUCUUUUCUACAUUUUCUUCAAGUUUCAAAUUUUACAUUUAGGUACAGGAUCUCUUUUAAAAUAAUUUUUCUAUACAGUGUUAAACAUAGAUUGAAAUUGCUAGUUCAAUAUUUUAUUUUCAAACGUGUAUCUAAUUAUUCUAGCACAAUUUGUUGAUAAGAUUAUACUUUCUCCAAUUAAACGAGUUGACCAUAUAUGUGUGGCAAUAUUAUGGGAUGCUCCAUUCUGUUCCAUUGAUUGGUUAGUAUAACUUAAGGCCACUAUCAUUUUAUCUUGAUAACUGUGGCUUUAUAAUAAACCAUGGAAUGAAGUCAUUUUAGUUCUCCAACUUCAUUCUUCUUUUUCAAAGCUAUUUUAGCUAUUCUGGCUCUUUUACAUUUCCAUUUGAAUUUCAGAAUCAGUUUGUCAAUUCCUACAAAAUGUCUGCUGAGAUAUUGAUCAGAAUUGAACUACAUCAAUAGAUCUAUUGGGGGGACUUGACAUCUUAGCAAUAAUUAGACUUCUAACUCAUGAAUGUGGUAAAAGUCUCCAUUUAUUCGUUUUUUUACCUCAAUAUUUUGUAAUAUUCACAUAUGUUGUAAUAUUUAUACUUAAAUAUUUUGUUGUUGAUGUUAUUAAAAACCAUAUUAUUCUUUACAUUCUAUUCCUUUUUUAUUGCUAGUAUAUAAAAAUACAACUUGU